rnacentral:tRNA from 1 species
GGGAAUGUGGCUUAGUGGUAGAGCGCUUGUCUGGCAUGCAUGAAGCCCUGGAUUGGAUUCCUCAGUACCA